rnacentral:rRNA from 1 species
GAANUCCUAGUGUAGCGGUGAAAUGCGUAGAUAUUAGGAGGAACACCAGUGGCGAANGCGACUUUCUGGACAGUAACUGACGCUGAGGCGCGAAAGCGUGGGGAGCAAACAGGAUUAGAUACCCUGGNNGUCCACGCCGUAAACGAUGGNUACUAGGUGUAGGAGGUAUCGACCCCUCCUGNGCCGCAGUUAACACAAUAAGUAUCCCANCUGGGG